GCGGGGCGGGCGCCUGGGCGUCUUCUGCUUUUCCCAGGAGAACAUUAUCUGGUCCAACCUGCAGUACCGGUGCAAUGACACGAUCCCUGGAGACUUUGAGCCUUUCCGCCGGUUCCUGCUGGAGGGCCGGGAGUGAGCCAGCCAGCCCCCUGCCCCAGCACCUCUCCAAGGGAGUCACCAAGGGACUUCUUAUGGGCCUCCUGCCUGAGCAAGGCCCUGGCCUCUCCAUGCCUGGGGCCUCCCCGCAGGCCAGACCCGGGUACUGGAACCCACCGGACCUCGCGUCGCAGCAAUGGUAGCCAGGUGCCUGCCCAGCCCAGCUGGGCCUGCCCCCCUCAGCAGGAUAGCCAAAGCAUGCCCCCCGCCAGACUCAGCCCCCCGGAGCUGGGCUAGGGCAACGGACCGCAAGGCCCUGGUGUCUGCCGGUGGAUUGGGGUGUCAGGCGAGCUCCUCUCAGCUGGUACUGCAGGUGCCCAGAGCCUGGGACUCCUCCCGGGACCUCCAACCUGAGUCUGGCCAUAAAGUUUGAUUGUUUUCUACCCUGUGAGCCUUGUUCCUAGGCGGGGAGGGCAGGGGCAGCGGGGCCGAUCGGGCCCGGCACUCGGAGCUACUGGCCCUGUCUCCCCUCUGAAGCGUGUCGGGGCUCCCCUGCUGUGGAGAGGAACCUCGCACUGGCAGGGCACUGCUGGUAGGUCAGCCCGGCAGGAGGGGUAACGAGUCCCUCGCCACGGAAGCUGCUCCGGGGCCCCCCUCCGUGCCGAGUGGCUCAGAUCCCGUCUGACUCCGGCCGGGCGAGUGCAGUGCCUCUGAAAGGCAGCGCCCGCUCUCCCGAGAGCAGGAGGAACGGGGCCGGCUCCCCCCGGGCCGGGAGCAGCGAGCGAGGCCCCACGGGGGCCAGGGCGCGGAGCAGCCCAAGGAGGCAGGAGGCCGGGACGAGUGCAAUAUUGGCAGGGGAUAGAACAACACUGCACAACAUCCCGUCCCUCCUGCUACCCUGGCGGGAGGCGCCAGCUGCCGCCCCCCCGGCCGUCCCCGGGCAACGU